UGGGGAAUUUUGGACAAUGGGGGAAACCCUGAUCCAGCAACGCCGCGUGAGGGACGAAGGUCUUCGGAUUGUAAACCUCUUUUGUAAGGGACGAAUUAAUUGACGGUACCUUACGAAUAAGUCACGGCUAACUUCGUGCCAGCAGCCGCGGUAAUACGAAGGUGGCUAGCGUUACUCGGAAUGACUAGGCGUAAAGCGCAGGUAGGUGGUAAGGCAAGUCUGUGAUGAAAUCUCCCGGCUUAACUGGGAGGGGUUUAUGGAAACUGCCUUGCUCGAGUGUGGGAGGGGAUGCUGGAAUUCCUGGUGUAGCGGUGAAAUGCGUAGAUAUCAGGAGGAACACCAAUGGCGAAAGCAGGCAUCUGGCCCAAUACUGACGCUGAGCUGCGAAAGCUAGGGGAGC
rnacentral:rRNA from 1 species